rnacentral:rRNA from 1 species
CAGUCGCCGCGGUAAUACAGAGGAUGCAAGCGUUAUCCGGAAUGAUUGGGCGUAAAGGGCUCGCAGGCGGUUUCUUAAGUCUGAUGUGAAAGCCCCCGGCUCAACCGGGGAGGGUCAUUGGAAACUGGGAAACUUGAGUGCAGAAGAGGAGAGUGGAAUUCCACGUGUAGCGGUGAAAUGCGUAGAGAUGUGGAGGAACACCAGUGGCGAAGGCGACUCUCUGGUCUGUAACUGACGCUGAGGAGCGAAAGCGUGGGGAGCGAACAGGAUUAGAGACCCCCGUAGUCCCUGUCUCUUAUAA